CCUACGGGAGGCAGCAGUCGAGAAUCAUUCACAAUGGGGGAAACCCUGAUGGGGCGACGCCGCGUGGGGGAAUGAAGGUCUUCGGAUUGUAAACCCCUGUCAUGUGGGAGCAAAUUAAAAAGAUAGUACCACAAGAGGAAGAGACGGCUAACUCUGUGCCAGCAGCCGCGGUAAUACAGAGGUCUCAAGCGUUGUUCGGAAUCACUGGGCGUAAAGCGUGCGUAGGCUGUUUCGUAAGUCGUGUGUGAAAGGCGCGGGCUCAACCCGCGGACGGCACAUGAUACUGCGAGACUAGAGUAAUGGAGGGGGAGCCGGAAUUCUCGGUGUAGCAGUGAAAUGCGUAGAUAUCGGGAGGAACACUCGUGGCGAAGGCGGGUUCCUGGACAUUAACUGACGCUGAGGCACGAAGGCCAGGGGAGCGAAAAGGAUUAGAUACCCUUGUAGUC
rnacentral:rRNA from 1 species